GAUGAACGCUGGCGGCGUGCCUAAUACAUGCAAGUCGAGCGAAUGGAUUAAGAGCUUGCUCUUAUGAAGUUAGCGGCGGACGGGUGAGUAACACGUGGGUAACCUGCCCAUAAGACUGGGAUAACUCCGGGAAACCGGGGCUAAUACCGGAUAACAUUUUGAACCGCAUGGUUCGAAAUUGAAAGGCGGCUUCGGCUGUCACUUAUGGAUGGACCCGCGUCGCAUUAGCUAGUUGGUGAGGUAACGGCUCACCAAGGCAACGAUGCGUAGCCGACCUGGGAGGGGGCUCGGCCACAGUGGGACUGAGACACGGCCCAGACUCCUACGGGAGGCAGCAGUAGGGAAUCUUCCGCAACGGACGAAAGUCUGACGGAGCAACGCCACGUGAGUGAUGAAGGCUUUCGGGUCGUAAAACUCUGUUGCUAGGGAAGAACAAGUGCUAGUUGAAUAAGCUGACACCUUGACGGUACCUAACCAGAAAGCCACGGCUAACUACGUGCCAGCAGCCGCGGUAA
rnacentral:rRNA from 1 species